rnacentral:rRNA from 1 species
UAUUUUCCUUUUUUGCCAGCAGCCGCGGUAAUACGUAGGCGGCAAGCGUUGUCCGGAAUUAUUGGGCGUAAAGGGAGCGCAGGCGGGAAACUAAGCGGAUCUUAAAAGUGCGGGGCUCAACCCCGUGAUGGGGUCCGAACUGGUUUUCUUGAGUGCAGGAGAGGAAAGCGGAAUUCCCAGUGUAGCGGUGAAAUGCGUAGAUAUUGGGAAGAACACCAGUGGCGAAGGCGGCUUUCUGGACUGUAACUGACGCUGAGGCUCGAAAGCUAGGGUAGCGAACGGG